rnacentral:ncRNA from 1 species
GUAUAAGCAUUUGAAGCAAGAGGGGUCGUGGCCCUUACCGUUCAGAGAGAAACUGCUUGGCUGAAACAGUUUCCGGUAACCCACGACCAGUAGCUUGCGAGCUGUUUGGCUGAACUGAUAGUAAGCCAAACCGGAGUGACAUCCGUUACCGAUUGUUAUUGAGAGGGGUUAAAAGCCCAAUUUAGGUGGUACCGCGAAGCAUUUCGUCCUAUUA